CACGUAGGGCGCAAGCGUUGUCCGGAAUUAUUGGGCGUAAAGAGCUCGUAGGCGGUCUGUUGCGUCCGCUGUGAAAACUCGGGGCUUAACCCCGAGCCUGCAGUGGAUACGGGCAGACUAGAGGUAGGUAGGGGAGAAUGGAAUUCCCGGUGUAGCGGUGAAAUGCGCAGAUAUCAGGAGGAACACCAAUGGCGAAGGCAGCUCGCUGGGACGAUACUGACGCUGAGGACGAACGAACGUGGGGAGCAAACAGGAUUAGAAC
rnacentral:rRNA from 1 species